GCCCCUAUAGCUCAGCUGGAUAGAGCAACGGACUUCUAAUCCGUAGGUCGCGCGUUCGAAUCGUGCUGGGGGCA
rnacentral:tRNA from 1 species